AACGAACGCUGGCGGCAUGCCUGACACAUGCAAGUCGAACGAGACCUUCGGGUCUAGUGGCGCACGGGUGCGUAACGCGUGGGAACCUGCCCUUAGGUUCGGAAUAACUCCCCGAAAGGGGUGCUAAUACCGGAUAAUGUCUUCGGACCAAAGAUUUAUCGCCUUUGGAUGGGCCCGCGUUGGAUUAGCUAGUUGGUAGGGUAAAAGCCUACUAAGGCGACGAUCCAUAGCUGGUCUGAGAGGAUGAUCAGCCACACUGGGACUGAGACACGGCCCAGACUCCUACGGGAGGCAGCAGUGGGGAAUAUUGGACAAUGGGCGAAAGCCUGAUCCAGCAAUGCCGCGUGAGUGAUGAAGGCCUUAGGGUUGUAAAGCUCUUUUACCCGGGAUGAUAAUGACAGUACCGGGAGAAUAAGCUCCGGCUAACUCCGUG
rnacentral:rRNA from 1 species